rnacentral:rRNA from 1 species
CACGUAGUUGGCCGGUGCUUCUUAUCCAGGUACCGUCACGUUAGCUUCGUCCCUGGCGAAAGAGGUUUACAACCCGAAGGCCGUCAUCCCCCACGCGGCGUCGCUGCGUCAGGCUUUCGCCCAUUGCGCAAUAUUCCCCACUGCUGCCUCCCGUAGGAGUCUGGGCCGUGUCUCAGUCCCAGUGUGGCCGGUCGCCCUCUCAGGCUGGCUACCCGUCGUCGCCUUGGUAGGCCAUCACCCCACCAACAAGCUGAUAGGCCGCGGGCCCAUCCCUCACCGAAAAAACUUUCCACCAACAACCAUGCGGCCGAAGGUCAUAUCCGGUAUUAGACCCAGUUUCCCAGGCUUAUCCCAGAGUGAGGGGCAGGUCACCCACGUGUUACUCACCCGUUCGCCGCUCAUCCACCCGAAGGCUUCAGCGCUCGACUUGCAUGUGUUAAGCACGCCGCCAGCGUUCGUCCUGAGCCAGGAUCAAACUCU